GAUGAACGCUGGCGGCGUGCCUAAUACAUGCAAGUCGAGCGAACAGAUAAGGAUCUUGCUCCUUUGACGUUAGCGGCGGACGUGUGAGUAACACGUGUGUAACCUACCUAUAAUACUGGUAUAACUUCGGGAAACCGGAGCUAAUACCGUAUAACCUUUGGAAGCACAUUGUUCUAAAGUGAAAGUUGGUUUUGCUAUCACGUAUAGAUGGACCCGCGCCGUAUUAGCUAGUUGGGAAGGUAACGGCUUUCUAAGGGAACGAUACGUAGACGACGUGACAGAGUGAUCGGCGACACUGGAACUGAAACACGGACAAGACGCCUAAGGGAGGCAGCAGUAGCGAACGGGACGCAAUGGGCGAAAGCAUGACGGAGCGACGCCGCGUGAGAGAUGAAGGGGCUCGGCUCGUAAAGAUCGGUUAUUAGGGAAGAACAAACGUGUACGUAAAUGUGCAGGGAUUGACGGUACCUAAUAAGAAAGCAACGGCUAACUACGUG
rnacentral:rRNA from 1 species